UCUGAGACUCGGCAGAGGCAACACCGUGAAACUUCCAAGCCGAAGCAAUAUCAUGGCUCCCUUCAACAAUGGCCGAUCAUGCUUUGUUGCAGAUGAUGAUGUUUCUGAGGGCUCGGAAACAGCGUCCUUCAUAAGCUUUCAGGUAACUGUGCAGGUCCUGAAAACCAGCUCACACGCAGCAGUUUCUUCAGAACUUUUAAGCAGGGCCUUUUGGCACUCACACACAAACUGGAACAAGCCUUGUAAAGCAAACUAGAGAGGUUAUCACUCAAGGAAGAAAGAAAACAAGAAGGCGGUGUAGUAGAAAUCAUCCACCCGUGAUUCUGGGAACCGUAGGGCCCCAUCCAUGGCUUCUGUUGUAGAUCUCCCGCACCACCUGCCUGAUCUUCUCCACAGCGAGCUCAAUGCUUCCUGCUUUCAGGUUUGUCUACAAGAUUUUCCAGUUGGUGAGAUGACUGCAAAUAUGGAAGAUAACUGGUGCAGGAUCAUUAGGCAUUUUCUUAUCAAAACAUGCUGCAUUUCUGGUUUUCCAUAUUGUCCACCAUAGAGCAGUCCCUCCCAUCAUAGCCAUUUUUCUUUUGGCUGGGAGGGAACUGGUCCAGUAAGCCAGAAGUAAGAUCGUAAGAUCAUGAACAUCAUCAGGCGUCUCACAAGGUCAAAAGCACAGAGAAUCACAUUAUAUUCAAACAGCAGAUGUUUGAUGAAGCAACCCGUUAAACGUAGCAAUCAGGAAGACAACCUGAUCUAUCGCCGCAGAGCUCGCCACGAGCAAGUGUCAACAAGAUCGGCAGAGUGGCAGCGGGGAAGCUUGACAGAUCGCUCGUCUCACAGAUAGGAAUAGCUUCCUAAUUUGGCUUCAGAACUCGGACAAGCUCUAAAUGAACGGACAGGACUAACCCGGUGGGAUCAAAAUUAGAAGCCACCGACACCGACAGCACUAACUAAACGGGAGCGCGCAUUGACCAGCGCGCGGAGCAGAACCCGUGCGACCGCCUCGUCUCACCGAUGCACCGCGGCGAUCGGGAUCCGUUUACCGAUUCGCCGGCUCCAGGCACGACGACGAGGAACGAGAGAGAGGGAAGGACCGGGCGGGCGGGAAGGAGAGGAGCUAGCCGAACCUGUGGUGGCCGGUGCGGAGAAGAAGAGCACCGCCGCGAGCAGCACGGCGCAGCAGGCCGCGGAUCUGGAGCUCCCGGCGACGCCACCAACCGGCGCCAUUUCCUCCACCGACACUCCCCAGCAGCAGCUGCAGCUACCCACCCACCGACCCCCGCUCCGCUCUGCACGGCGAGGAAUGCGGCCGCGCCCGCCGAGGAAGGGGGCAGCUGGAGAUCUGAGGCGACUGAGCAGGUGGUGGUGGUGGAGGAGGAGGGAGUGGGACUUAAAGCAUGUGCGGCCGCGGCCGUCUCCCCAGUUUUUACUGCGACGAGACGAGACGAGACGCGCUCCGUCUGCGAGUCUGCUUGCUCCCUCACGGACGCUUCCUUGCGCGCCUCGGUGGGAAUUAUAUCGCGGGGAGGGGGCGCCUUUUUUUUCUUUCCUCACCCGCGGAUGUGACGGCCCAACCUCCGAGGUGGUUCGGACCGAAAUGCCCUCCGCUCGUACAGCUGUUCCCUAUUGGGCGAUGGAUGUCACUCGUCGGGAGCUGGGACAGGGACUGCGACCUCUGCCCCGGCCAUGGCGCUCGGGAGUGGAUCCUUCUGCAUGAGCGAACUUUGCUAAAUCUGACAAAGUCCCAUGCCGAAACAUAGCACAUGUUUGAAACAAAAGGACCAGACACACUCAGUUCUGCAUCGGCAAACUUUGCUAAAUCUGACAACGUUUGGUGUCAAAAUACUAAGGCUAGUUAUAGUGGGAGUAACUUAGCUAAUAACAUAGCGCAUUUAGAAAUUUUUUUGCCAAUGAGUAGUAACAUUACUGUAACAUAGCGCUUUCCAAAACAAUAUGAGUCUACAAGCUAAUAAAUAAAGUCAUCUAUGCUACUACUACUACCUUACUUUGCACUAUGAAGGUAGUAGUAACUUCCCUUGGAAGUGAGGGGGCUUCCAUGGCAAGUUGUUACGGUGACGGCGGUGCGAGGUAUCUGAUCGGGACUGGCCGGGAUCUUGGAGACGGGGAGAUGUGCAGCGCUACGGAUGAAAAUCCUGUUCGGUUGUGGUCGGACCGGCGUUGAUGGCACCUGCGGGUGUCGUUCACCUUCCUGGAGGCUUCGCCGAGUGCAACGCCAUCUUCCUCGCGACCUCGUAUCGGCAGCUAUCUCCGGGGCGAAAGCCCUGAUUCGUAGGAUCCGCAUGAUGGCAACGUCUUUGAGGUUGUUACUCUGUUGGGAGCAUUGUGCUGGGAGACUCAAGGUCCCAUGAUGUGCUCCUCCGGUGUUCACCGCUGCCCGAAUCUUUCUCCUCUGGCGCCAUGUACGGUCGUCGCUGGCUAUUUCAAGGAAGCUGGAGUUGCUGUUCUUCAGAGGUCUUCAGUGUCGGCCGAGACGCGGCGAGGGGCUCGGUGUUGGGUAGGCUUUUUGUGUCGUAGUUGUGUUGUUGUGUUUGGUUGUCCUUGUACAAACCGGGUGUGGAGUGGGUCGCCUUCGAGUGGUAGACGUUGUUGUAUGUCUUAUUUCUCUUCUUCUAUAAAGCUAAGGUACGCAAUUUGCGUAUCCUCGAAAAAAACUUAGAUUAGUAUGCAUGACACUCGUACAAGUUACUCCUCAUUAUGACCAGCCUAACAUGUUCUCCAACACAACUCGAAGAGACGAUCUGUGGCGUGUAGGGGCGGGGGCCGCAUGACUGCAUUGACAAUUGGAAAGUGAUUUUGUGAUUAGAGUUUAGUUAAUUAAUGCAGCUUUUGGUAUAACUUUUGUGAGAGAGUGUGUGCCCCACACACCCCACCUUUAAUGUUUUUCCUUUUGACUUGUAAAUCUGAAUCUAUUAUAUCGUUUGAAUCAAAAGUCUAAUUUA